AGGCAGCAGUAGGGAAUAUUGCACAAUGGGCGCAAGCCUGAUGCAGCGACGCCGCGUGAGGGAUGACGGCCUUCGGGUUGUAAACCUCUUCCAGCAGGGAAGAAGCGCAAGUGACGGUACCUGCAGAAGAAGCGCCGGCUAACUACGUGCCAGCAGCCGCGGUAAUACGUAGGGCGCAAGCGUUGUCCGGAAUUAUUGGGCGUAAAGAGCUCGUAGGCGGUUUGUCGCGUUGUUCGUGAAAACUCACAGCUUAACUGUGGGCGUGCGGGCGAUACGGGCAGACUGGAGUACUGCAGGGGAGACUGGAAUUCCUGGUGUAGCGGUGGAAUGCGCAGAUAUCAGGAGGAACACCGGUGGCGAAAGCCGGGUCUCUUGGGCCGUAACUGACGCUGAGGAGCGAAAGCAUGGGGAGCGAACAGGAUUAGAUACCCCGGUAG
rnacentral:rRNA from 1 species